rnacentral:rRNA from 1 species
CGGUCCAGACUCCUACGGGAGGCAGCAGUGGGGAAUAUUGCACAAUGGGCGCAAGCCUGAUGCAGCCAUGCCGCGUGUGUGAAGAAGGCCUUCGGGUUGUAAAGCACUUUCAGCGGGGAGGAAGGCGUUAAGGUUAAUAACCUUGUCGAUUGACGUUACCCGCAGAAGAAGCACCGGCUAACUCCGUGCCAGCAGCCGCGGUAAUACGGAGGGUGCAAGCGUUAAUCGGAAUUACUGGGCGUAAAGCGCACGCAG